CUUCAACAUAUGAAUAUUGCGGGGACACAGACAUUCAAUCCAUAAUAGCAAGUUUCAGUGGAUUUCAGAAGCCCCUAAGGCAGAAAAGCAAAAGCACCUUAUUUUUUGUCCACUUGACCUGUGUCUUAUGUUGGACUGAAAUGUAGGUCUCCUAAUUUUAGUGUAGUUUUGUAUAUUUCUCCCUAUAUAUCUUUAACUUUCUGAUAUAUAAAGAUGUGAAUCAUGUUUUUUGUUUCUUGAUCUCUGCGGUUUUUUCAAGUACGCGUAUUCAUUUUGUGAAAAUUCAAUGAGCUCUACACUUUAUAUGUAGCUGAAAUACAACAUCAUAAUUUUUACUGGAAAAUAGCCACAAUGAAGGAACACCACAAUUUCACCAUGAAAACCAGCACAACCUUACACAGAUGACAAACAUUUCCCCUCAAAACUUGUUAAACUGUAUUUGGGCUGACCAAAUUAACCAGAGUUAUUCUAUUUAUGGGGGAGCAGGAAGUAACUUGAUAAAAUGCUUUGAGUUUAUAUAUCAUGUCAAAUAAAUAGCAUAAUUUUAAAGGAAAAAAACUUGUUAGGCAAUGUUCUCUUAUUUUCUGACAUCACAUAUUGUGACAGAAUGUAAGGCCAACCUGGUUUUUACAAAUUCCGU
rnacentral:lncRNA from 1 species